ACUAGUUUCCUUUUUGGGGGUUUGGUUUGGUUUGGAUUGGAUUUGGGCUUAUUUUUUUUUAUUCAUCUUUUCUUUGUAAAAAAAAAAUAUAUAACUAUAACUAUUCAAACUUAUCAAUCUUAUCACCACCCCACUUAGGCUACGGGUAGGUAAGUAAGUAAGUAAAACUACCUAUGUAAACACGAAAAAAGCAUUUCUUGCCCAUUCAUUCUUCAUUCUUCGUUCUUCUUCUCCCAGCUGGGCUUUGUCUAGAGGAACCCUCUUUUUGUUUUUGUCAGCAUGACGAGCGCCCUUUGAUAGAUAUAUGACUCCGCAGCCACGUACUAGUUAGAUAUGAUACAUAAGCACCAUUUGUAUACGCGUCGCAAAAGCGCUACGGCCGAAUUGAUUUUUCCGUGUCAGCUUUGUUUUUCUCCCUUUUUUGUUAUAAUUUGAUUUUUAUGUUCCUCCCCUCUGUGGCAGUAUAAAAAGGGGGAGUCACAAAGGUAAGGGGUAGAGAAAAAAGGGGGUAGAGAUAAAAACAAAAAGAUAGUUAAUACAAGAUGAAACCCCUUCAUGUGAUCUACAUGUAUAAAACCUUGGUUGGGAAACAUCAAAUCUCGAGAUAAGGAACC
rnacentral:sRNA from 2 species